rnacentral:rRNA from 1 species
AUUGAACGCUGGCGGCAGGCCUAACACAUGCAAUUCGAGCGAGCGGCGGACGGGUGAGUAAUGUCUGGGUAACUGCUUGAUGGAGGGGGCUAACUACUGGAAACGGUAGCUAAUACCGCAUACCAUCAGAUGUGCCCAGAUGGGAGUAGCUAGUAGGUUGGGUACCGGCUCACCUAGGCGACGAUCCCUAGAUGGUCUGAGAGGAUGACCAGCCACAAUGGAACUGAGACACGGUCCAGACUCCUACGGGAGGCAGCAGUGGGGAAUAUUGCACAAUGGGCGAAAGCCGGAUGCAGCCAUGCCGCGUGUGUGAAGAAGGUCUUCGGGUUGUAAAGCACUUUCAGCGGGGAGGCGUUACCCGCAGAAGAAGCACCGGCUAAAUCCGUGCCAGCAGCCGCGGUAAUAC